rnacentral:piRNA from 1 species
UUUGCUCAACAGAAAGCCAUGUAAACCUGU